rnacentral:rRNA from 1 species
AACGAACGCUGGCGGCGGGCUUAACACAUGCAAGUCGAGCGCCCCGCAAGGGGAGCGGCAGACGGGUGAGUAACGCGUGGGAACAUACCCCUUCCUGCGGAAUAGCUCCGGGAAACUGGAAUUAAUACCGCAUACGCCUUACGGGGGAAAGAUUUAUCGGGGAAGGAUUGGCCCGCGUUGGAUUAGCUAGUUGGUGGGGUAAAGGCCUACCAAGGCGACGAUCCAUAGCUGGUCUGAGAGGAUGAUCAGCCACAUUGGGACUGAGACACGGCCCAAACUCCUACGGGAGGCAGCAGUGGGGAAUAUUGGACAAUGGGCGCAAGCCUGAUCCAGCCAUGCCGCGUGAGUGAUGAAGGCCUUAGGGUUGUAAAGCUCCUUCACCGGAGAAGAUAAUGACGGUAUCCGGAGAAGAAGCCCCGGCUAACUUCGUGCCAGCAGCCGCCGCAGUAA